rnacentral:rRNA from 1 species
CCUACGGGGGGCAGCAGUGAGGAAUAUUGGUCAAUGGCCGAGAGGCUGAACCAGCCAAGUCGCGUGAGGGAAGAAGGCCCUACGGGUUGUAAACCUCUUUUGUCGGGGAGCAAAGCGAGUCACGUGUGACUCAUUGAGAGUACCCGAAGAAAAAGCAUCGGCUAACUCCGUGCCAGCAGGCGCGGUAAUACGGGGGAUGCGAGCGUUAUCCGGUUUUAUUGGGUUAAAAGGGUGCGCAGGCGGAGGUGCAAGUCAGCGGUAAAAUUGCGGGGCUCAACCCCGUACUGCCGUUGAAACUGCAUCCCUUGAGUGCGCGAGAAGUAUGCGGAAUGCGUGGUGUAGCGGUGAAAUGCAUAGAUAUCACGCAGAACUCCGAUUGCGAAGGCAGCAUACCGGCGCCCAACUGACGCUGAAGCACGAAAGCGUGGGUAUCGAACAGGAUUAGAUACCCGAGUAGUC